AUUGAACGCUGGCGGCAGGCCUAACACAUGCAAGUCGAGCGGAGCGGCGGACGGGUGAGUAAUGCCUAGGAAUCUGCCUGGUAGUGGGGGAUAACGACCGGAAACGGGCGCUAAUACUGCAUACUAUCACAUGAGCCUAGGUCGGAUUAGCUAGUUGGUGAGGGAAAGGCAUACCCAGGCGACGAUCCGUAGCAGGUCUGAGAGGAUGAUCAGUCACCCGGGAACUGAGAAACGGUCCAGACUCCUACGGCAGGCAGCAGUGGGGAAUAUUGGACAAUGGGCGAAAGCCUGAUCCAGCCAUGCCGCGUGUGUGAAGAAGGUCUUCGGAUUGUAAAGCACUUUAAGUUUGGAGGCGUUACCAACAGAAUAAGCACCGGCUAACUUCGUGCCAGCAGCCGCGGUAAUUC
rnacentral:rRNA from 1 species